rnacentral:rRNA from 1 species
AAGAUUAAGCCAUGCAUGUCUAAGUAUAAGCAAUCUAUACAGUGAAACUGCGAAUGGCUCAUUAAAUCAGUUAUCGUUUAUUUGAUAGUACCUUACUACUUGGAUAACCGUGGUAAUUCUAGAGCUAAUACAUGCUAAAAAUCCCGACCUCCGGAAGGGAUGUAUUUAUUAGAUAAAAACCAAUGCCUUCGGGCUUGUUGGUGAUUCAUGAUAACUAAACGAAUCGCAU